AAUACCAAAUAAAGAAGCUUGACUCUGACUGGAUGGCAAAAAAACCCUAGUACUCUGUGAAGCAGAAGAACUAGAUACCUUCUCAGGAACAAGAGGAACCCACACUUGUGCCUGAAGAGCCAGACUCCAUUUUAGGGUCCACAGCUGCAUCUCCUGUGAUCCUCAAAAGCAAGAAGGAUGAAAAAAUUACUUGAAGUGUUCUUGAUAACUCUGUGGCUUCAUGUGGCCAGGGUGAACAGCCAACAAGAAGAGAAAACUCAGACCUUGAGUAUCCAACAGGGUGAAAAUGCCACCGUGAACUGCAGUUACAAAUCUGACAUAAUCACCCUGCAGUGGUACAGACAGGAUUCUGGCAGAGGACCCACCAUGCUAAUUUUAAUAAGGUCAAAUGAGAGAGAAAGAAGCAGUGGACGGCUAAGAAUCACCCUGGACACCUCUGCCAGAAGCAGUUCCCUGUCCAUCUUGACUUCCCAGACUGCAGACACUGCAGCUUACUUCUGUGCCACAGAUGCACAGUGUUCAGUGUGCACCUGCAGCCUGACUCUAACCUCAGCAGAGCUGCUACCUAGAGGUCCCAGCACUGGGAGAGCUGUGUUAUGUAUAUGGGGGAUAGUCUAUGCGAUCAGGAAAGUGGAAUCCUCUCCCAUUGAUAUUUUGGAAAUACCUGACACUUUGUCAAGGGCUAGAAUUUGGAGUGGUAAAAUGAAAUGUCAGGCUCAGAUCUGGCCCUCCUGCCAGCUGAUCUCAAGCUCAUCUUCAAUGCAGUGGCUUUUUAAGUCCUCACUUGUUGUGAAGGGCAAGGAUUCUUAAGUACCAACUAUUCUCUGUUUAUGCUCAAGCUAAUUAGGAAAGUGAAGCCCUGGGUACUCGGUGAGCAUGAGCAAGGACUGCUCAAGACUGGAAGAUGCCCUCUGUACUAUGUAUAGCCUCAGGGCCAAGGCAGGUCUGCGAGAUGCUGAGGUCACUCUCACCUACCUGCAGUUGUGGGGAUUGAGAUAGAUCUCAGGACACACACAGCCAUGUCUUCACUUUACAAUGAAGAGUGACAGUGUGUGAGAGGCAGAGAGCUGAAUCUUGGAAUAAUAGAGCCCAAGAUCUGACUCUGAUCCUGAAUGUA